AACCAAUUGCCCUAGUCCGCCUCUUAAAAAUAUGUUUUUAUAAAUAAAUAGAUGGACAGAGCCAGAUCGACUCUGCUAUUGAUCCCGAUCAAGAAUAUAAAUACUUUAUAUGGUCGGAAAAGUUUCCGCCUACCUAUUAUAUACUUUUCAACGAAUCUAGUUCAUAUACCAUUUUACUCUACGAGUAACGGGUAUACAAAUUUACCUAUCAUUUACAUAUACCUGCAAUUAGGUUGAUGAAAAGUCCAUAGAUGCAAAAAAAAACUCCCAUACGGUUCGAGAUGACCUUUGUGUUCCUUGGACGUGUUUGCCAUUAUAAGGAUGCCAACAAUAUAUCAUAAUUUAAAUCGAUGAAGAAUAGCAUUCAUCGUACCAAAUGGAAAGAGCUCUAUAAGACCAAAUGCUGUUUAAACUGCGGUUUUAGUAACUGAUAAUAUUCUUUCACCAGAUCGAUUGUGCUCCAAAAAAUCGCGGUCGGAUAUGCAGCGGUCUCCACUGACCACGAAAAAUACGCUCUUUGAACAAGAAUUCGACUUUUUUCGUUUAAAACAUCACCAGAUAGAUAUCGCGAGCCAUCAUAAUUCGGGCCUUCUUUUGGUUUCAUUUAGUCCACUGUUGUACAUCGUCGAUUGCUUGUAUUUUGUAAUGGUACAGUGGUGAUCUCAAACUCUUGUAAUAGGCUAUGGAUUCUGUAUAUGAAGUGCCAUAGAGCCUGAGUCGACGAGGACUUUGGAGUUGUAUAACUUUUGGGUUUGGUGAGAUCUUCGCAGGCGUGGCCUUUGCCUUAAUCGUCCAGCGAAGAAGGCAACAGCAGGCGUGCGAUUUUCGUUGCCAAAAUGGUGACUAAUAGCAAAUUUCUUCUUUCUGAUCUCCAGAUUACUGAAAGUCGGAUAAGUCGCUCUCGAAUAUUAGGGUACUGGAAAAAGAGAGAUCCCAAGUUGCGAAGUUCGCCGGAUAUCAAUUGCUGUCGUGUUGUCAGAUUCACUUUAAUGUGUUUCUUCAAUUAAUUGGUCUUCAUAAUUUUAAUGCACUUUAUAAAGAACGUGGGACGCGGAAUUGGUGAUAACAUUCGCAUCAUAUUCAUCGACAUAAUCAUAAUCCGAUUACAACUACGGCAUUCAGGAGAUGCAUACGGCGGGGUACCAACAUAUUGAAGUACCCAUACAAGCUAACCAGAAGAAGAGAAGAGACUCUGUCCUUCGAGCGGAUUGGAUUUUACAAUUUUAGAUUGAAAAUUAAUUAGUGAAAGUUUCUGCUAGGCGGUGGUUGGCUUUGGUUACUAAUUAAAAAUAAUACAAAUAAUAAGUUUAUCAACACUUUUUUCAUGCUACUACCGAAUGUUGAUUUAUAAAUUUUCCAAGGAUAACUUACCGUUAAUUUUAUAUGAAUAAAAUGUCAUGACUCUUAAUAUAUCUUUUAAAAACCAUUUUGAUUUAUUACUGAUCAAUGUUGAAUAAGAAUAAAAAUAAUUGAAAAGUUAAAAUAAAUUUACAUCUUUAGGGAUGCUACCAGAUUAAAAAUAUGUUUUUUUAAAAUAGCACAGCAGCCGCAACACUGUCCGAUUUGCAGAAAAAUAAAUCAAGGAGCUUUUCAAUUAAAGUGUUUUACAAUGGACCGUGUUGCUUUGGAUAUAGGGUCGCCUUUAGUCACCACUGGCAACAAAUAUUUCCGAAUUCAGAGACUCGUCAUUAGUGCCAAAAAUUUAGGACAAAGGACAGGCUGCGUACUCUGGUGAUUUGUAGAUUUUGGGCAACCCGGAGAUUGUUAUUGAUAGUAUUACAUUGAAACAUUAAGAUGAUGAUUAGUGUAUCGAAGAGGCUUAGGUUUGAUUAUAACAAUAACUUUGCAAACGACCAUAAAAUUGAUUUCAAAGAACAGAGCCUAGCGCUUGCGUUCUUGGUAGAACUCUCGGAUUAGCUGGCGCAGAUAACGCAUUUCGUUGCGACGCUCCUGCAGAGUGCGACGAAGCUGCUCGUUU